rnacentral:rRNA from 1 species
GAUGAACGCUGACAGAAUGCUUAACACAUGCAAGUCGAUGGGGAAGUGGUGCUUGCACCAUGGUAACCAUGGCGGACGGGUGAGUAACGCGUAAGGAACUUGCCUGCGGGACUGGGAUAACAGCAGGAAACUGCUGAUAAUACCGGAUAAGGUCAUUAAGCUGCAUAGCUUAGUGAUGAAAGGAGACGCCUGCGGAGAGCCUUGCGUCCUAUUAGCUAGUUGGAGGGGUAACGGCCCACCAAGGCGAAGAUAGGUAGCCGGCCUGAGAGGGUGGACGGCCACAAGGGGACUGAGAUACGGCCCUUACGCCUACGGGAGGCAGCAGUGGGGAAUAUUGGAGAAUGGGGGCAACCCUGAUCCAGCAAUUCUGUGUGCACGAAGACGGUUUUCGGAUUGUAAAGUGCUUUCAGCAGGGAAGAAGGAAGUGACGGUACCUGCAGAAGAAGCGACGGCUAAAUACGUG